AUUGAACGCUGGCGGCAGGCUUAACACAUGCAAGUCGAACGAGAGGCGGACGGGAGGGUAAUGCAUGGGAAUCUAGCUUAGGGAGGGGGAUAGCUACGGGGAACUAUAGCUACUACCGCGUUCCAUAGCCUGAGCCCAAGUGGGAUUAGGUCGUUGGUGAGGUAAAGGCUUACCAAGCCGACGAUCUCUAGCUGGUCUGAGAGGAGGACCAGCCACACUGGGACUGAGACACGGCCCAGACUCCUACGGGAGGCAGCAGUGGGGAAUAUUGCGCAAUGGGGGCAACCUGACGCAGCCAUGCCGCGUGAAUGAAGAAGGCCUUCGGGUUGUAAAGUUCUUUCGGUAGCGAGGCGUUAACUACAGAAGAAGCACCGGCUAACUCCGUGCCAGCCGCCGCGGUAAUAC
rnacentral:rRNA from 1 species